GUACUUACCUGGGAGGGGAGCUGCCAUGAUUGAGGGUGGUUUUCCUGGGGCGAGGCUUGUCUGUUGCCCUCUGGAUGUACCAACCCUUACGAUUUCCCCAAAUGUAGGAGACUUAACUGCAUAAUUUGUGGUAGUAAGAGACUGUGUUUGUCCUCUCCCCUG